CCAGAGGAUGAGCAUUUCACUGACAAGCUGAAGUGUGUUACAUUGAUUAUGAAAUUGGCUUUGAACUGCUGUAGAGAAUGUCCAAGAGAAAGGAUCAGUAUGAAAGAUGUUUUAACAGAACUAAUAAAGAUCAAGCAUCAAUUUCAAUUUCUGAUGACACAUACCGUCAGGUCUUGAUCGUAUCAGAAACAAUGCUUUUGGCCAAUGCAAAUAGAUAUUGCUGUAUAAGUUGUAGGCUUGAUUUAUUUUGAAUGUCAGAGAGAGAUGUGCAUUAUUCCCUACAUCACAUUUGGACUUUCAGUUAUAGGGAAUAUUGCAUCUGUGGUUUUAUUUUGCUUUUC